GCUGGGUGUGGUAGCGCAUGCCUGUAAUCCCAGAGACUUGGGAGGCUGAGGCAGGAGGAUCACAAGUUUGAGACCAAUCUCAGCAAGUUAUCCAAGACCCUGUCUCAA
rnacentral:sRNA from 1 species